UACAGAGGGGGCGAGCGUUGUUCGGAAUUACUGGGCGUAAAGGGCGCGUAGGCGGCUUACCAAGUCAGGCGUGAAAUUCCCGGGCUCAACCUGGGGGCUGCGCUUGAUACUGGUGAGCUUGAAUGCGGGAGAGGAUAGUGGAAUUCCCAGUGUAGAGGUGAAAUUCGUAGAUAUUGGGAAGAACACCGGUGGCGAAGGCGGCUAUCUGGCCCGUAAUUGACGCUGAGGCGCGAAAGCGUGGGGAGCAAACAGG
rnacentral:rRNA from 1 species